rnacentral:rRNA from 1 species
UACGUAGGGUGCGAGCGUUAAUCGGAAUGACUGGGCGUAAAGGGUGCGUAGGCGGUUUGCUAAGACGGAUGUGAAAUCCCUGGGCUCAACCUAGGAACAGCAUACGUGACUGGCAGGCUAGAGUAUCGAAGAGGGGGGUAGAAUUCCACGUGUAGCAGUGAAAUGCGUAGGGAUGUGGAGGAAUACCGAUGGCGAAGGCAGCCCCCUGGUCAGAUACUGACGCUGAGGCACGAAAGCGUGGGGAGCAAACAGG